AUAUCAAUAAGCGGAGGAAAAGAAACUAACAAGGAUUCCCCUAGUAACUGCGAGUGAAGCGGGAAAAGCUCAAAUUUAAAAUCUGGCGGUCUUGCGGCCGUCCGAGUUGUAAUCUGGAGAAGCGUUUAUCCGCGUCGGACCGUGUACAAGUCUCCUGGAAGGGAGCGUCGUAGAGGGUGAGAAUCCCGUCUUUGACACGGACAACCGAUGCUUUUGUGAUGCGCUCUCGAAGAGUCGAGUUGUUUGGGAAUGCAGCUCAAAAUGGGUGGUAAAUUCCAUCUAAAGCUAAAUAUUGGCGAGAGACCGAUAGCGAACAAGUACCGUGAGGGAAAGAUGAAAAGCACUUUGGAAAGAGAGUUAAACAGUACGUGAAAUUGUUGAAAGGGAAACGUUUGAAGUCAGUCGCGUCGGCCGAGACUCAACCUGGGCUUCUGCCCGGUGCACUUCUCGGUUGACGGGUCAGCAUCAAUUUUGACCGCCGGAUAAAGGUUGGGGGAAUGUGGCAUCCUUCGGGAUGUGUUAUAGACCUCGAUUCGGAUACGGCGAUUGGGAUUGAGGAACUCGGCGCUCUGCGUCCAG
rnacentral:rRNA from 1 species